rnacentral:misc_RNA from 1 species
UGAUUUCAGUCCUGCAACAAGUCGCAUCCCGUCUCAUUACUCCAGGUAUAUAAAUUCGGCUCUUUUGUCAACCUGCAAUGCAUUUUGGUCCUUUUUUUUUUAACAAAACUUCAAAUAUCUACCUACUUUUACCGUGUCACUUAUCGGCUGGCAAGAGCACUGCAAUUCUAUAGUUCUAGGCUGGAUCGUUGAUCCCCUUUCCCCUUAAUUGUUUGAUUCUGUUUCAUUCUC